rnacentral:tRNA from 1 species
AAAGUUUUAAGUUAACUUAAACUAAUAAUCUUCAAAAUUAUAAAUAAAUAAUAUUUUUAAACUUUA